rnacentral:rRNA from 1 species
UUUUCAGGUUGACCUCGGAUCAGGU